rnacentral:tRNA from 1 species
CGCGGAGGUAGAGCAGUUGGUAGCUCGCAAGGUUCAUAACCUUGAGGUCGGGAGUUCGAGCCUCCCCUUCGCAA